rnacentral:rRNA from 1 species
AUUGAACGCUGGCGGCAGGCCUAACACAUGCAAGUCGAGCGAACGGCGGACGGGCGAGUAAUGUAUUGGGAUCUGCCUGACCGAGGGGGAUAACUAGUGGAAACGGUGGCAACAACCGCAAAGUCUCGGAUGAACCCAUAUGGGAUUAGCUAGUUGGUGGGGUAAAGGCUGACCUAGGCGACGAUCUCUAGCUGGCCUAAGAGGAUGAUCAGCCACACUGGGACUGAGACACGGCCCAGACUCCUACGGGAGGCAGCAGUGGGGAAUAUUGCACAAUGGGCGCAAGCCUGAUGCAGCCAUGCCGCGUGUAUGAAGAAGGCCUUAGGGUUGUAAAGUACUUUCAGCGGGGAGGCGUUACCCGCAGAAGAAGCACCGGCUAACUCCGUGCCAGCAGCCGCGGUAAUUC